rnacentral:tRNA from 1 species
GGGGGUGUAACUCAGUUGGUAGAGUAGCGGACUCUUAAUCCGUUUGUCCGGGGUUCGAGCCCCCGCGCCCCUACGA